UUCUGUAUUUGGCCAGUGUGACUCAGUGCGGGAAUGUGGUUUUUAUUGCCUGAAUGGAUGACUCAAUCUGUACAUAUGAGAACAGUCCCUGAAGAGAGCACAUCACAUUGCACGUAGGAAAAGAUAAGGAAAGGAGAAUCCUCUAAGAGGAUCAAAAUGGAUAAUCUACAAUACAGUAUGGAAAUCGCUCAUCCAAGACCAUGGAAAGCAAUUUCAAUAGGAAACAACUAUCUUAUAUUUCAUAUGGACUUAAUUGUGACUGCAAAGACAUCUUGGAAGAAAGCAGCAAUGCAGAGACACGUGCAAGGAAAUAUUUCUUCUUUCUUGAAAUAUGAAAUUAAUGAUUUAUCAUGAAACUGGUUCUGGCCCAGCCAAUCUAACUGUUGAGGGGAGAACAGUGCCUUCUCAUCUGCCCCUGUCCCAUCCCUAUUUAGGUACUGAAAAUAGCUGAAUUACAUAGGGAAAGACCUAUGGUUUGCACAAUCACUGGAGAAAGCUCAUAUGAGCAGUUUUAUGCUCUGCCAUGCAGUUUAGGGGCAUACAUUGCGGUACAAAUUCCAUGAAUAAGUGUUGGAACAAUUAAGGGCAGACCUGCAUGAAAAAUAAAAGGAAAAAAUGUAAUAAAAAUAAUUGAAGGAAAAGAAUAAUAAUAAUAAAAAGAAAUCCACACAUGAUAGUCCAAAAGCACGCUAUUCUCUCCAGUCAAAACUGAAUGGAUUUUCUUCAGAUUCUUUUCCUCAGACAGAAACAAGUUUUCCCCUUCUGACCAGAAUCGAGCACACUUAACACUACAGCAGGGCCUUACUUUGUUUCAUGGAAGAUUACAUGACGACAGAAAUAGAAAUUAGAGCUCCACUAUGGAACUGCUCAUUCUCAAGGCUCCAGUUACCUUUCCAAAACAUCGCAGGAACAUAGUCAUGCAACAGGAAGCUAAACUUGCAAAUGCUGUGUCAGAUACAGCUCUGACUAAACAUUAAUUCAUUUCUGCUGGUUUGGUUAGCUAUCUUAGCCUUGUCUACUGUAUCAUCUCCUGGAAUGACAACAGGGCUUGUGAGGGAUUGUCAGUCAGUGUUAUCUGUAAUAUAAGGAACAUUUAAGAAAGAGCUAUGAGUUCCUCCCAUUCUCUGUGGGAUAAGUGCUUCAUGAGAUUCGUUUCCUGAGCUGAAGGAUGAAAGAAGUCUGUUUUGAGAUGACCCAUCUCUUAUUUACACGGAAGAAAUCAAAGCUUGUUAAAAUAAGGUGACUUGCCUGAAGUUACAUGAAAAUAAUCCAGUUGUUCCAAAUCCUGAUAUGACAGGAGCCUUUGCAUAGUAUCAAACCAUUUCUCCAUUUCUCCAGUUCAACAAUUCCAGCAGCAAGACACUACACUUGGGCUUUAUGAGAUACUGGCUCCUUACAUUUACUUUACAUGAGAAAAAAAAUGCCGUGGUCCAGUUCUGGAAAAACUCAACCCUCCUCAUCACCUGCUCCCCUCCUACAAACCUACAUUACAACAGAUUACACCUGGUUAAUGAUUUUCAACUAGAUUGAUUUGAAGCCUCCUAACUUUUUAAAAUUUAUUAUUAUUAUUAUUAUUAUUAUUAUUUAGUGGUGGUUAAGCCUUCUGAUCCAUGAAAUUUCACUUUACUGACAGCACCUUGCUUUCUUAUUCACCUGUCAUCAAUCCUCUCAGAAGCAGCUCCUGGGCCAUGAGAGCUCUGCCAAACGCAGACUGAAAUAACUUCUCCAGAGAACUGCUUGCCAAGUGAUUUUAUGCCCAGGUCUGCAACAUAAAUCCUACAAUAAAUAUAAACCGAACUUCGUAUACAAGUGGACCACCUUACUUCCAGAAUUUAUUACUUCCCAUCUCAUUGUAUCUUCACUACCUUAGAUUUACGUAGAACUUGGCUCCAUAAAGGCUUAAAGAUCUUAUUCAAAAAUGCUUCUGGAUCUGCUGCAGACAUGUCUGUUCUCCCAGGACAAAACCAAGAGCAACCAUCUCUCCUCAAACCUUGUCACACAGAGAAUAGGAGCAUUGCUCUCUACUAAGGUCACUGAUUACAAAGCCAUACUUCAAAAUGGCAAAUAUCAUUAGAAAAUUAUAUGAAUUAUAUGUAUUAAAGGCCCAUGUGAACCACGAAGGAGCAACCUGUAAGCAAGAUUUCUGAGCUGACACCUUAAACAAACGUUUUUCUUUUCCUACCAUGGACUGCUGUAGAAGGACGUCUCUGCAGGACUUUCCUCAGAGAGGCAGCAAAUCUCUGCUGCUUUCACUCACUGCUGAAAUGCAGCAGCCAUGUUUGGGAAGAACUGAGCUCCUGGGCACAGUUUGCACGACUAUCACUCUCAGCCCUGCACCACCUCAACAAAAAGCACCCAAAAAAAGAGACCAGGAAAAAAAAAAAAGACUGCUCUUGUGCCACCAUCUGUAUUUCUUCUGCAAGAUGAAGAAAACAGUAACGUCUCAUCAAUGUAAAACGACUGAAGGUCAACAAGGAGACCUGCAGCACUAUAGACAUUAUCACAAUCUGUUGAACAGCAAUCACUGGUUACCAACAAUACAGCAAAAGAACUCUGGAAGAAAAGUCAAAAUUAACUGUAACAAAUGAAAGUAUGUAUAUAAGUAAAAACACACUAUGUAUACAUGACUUUUUUUUUUUUUUUUUUUUUUUUUUUUUUUUAUUUAACAAAAGCAAAUUGUAUUUACUUGAUGUUUGGAUUUUGCUCAAGAAAUGAGGACAACUUCAUUUUGUUGUUUCUUUCCCCCCUCUAAAGACAUGCUCAUUUUGGAAAGGAACAGAUAAAACUGGGAAUCUACUGAAUGCUGAGCAGGAGUCUCAUCCCUUUUACAUUUCAUUGUCUCCUACAGUAGAACUUCCCCUUGUGAUAAAAUAUCACAGUCUCUCUUCAGCUUUGAGAUCUCACACAUCAGGUCUGGCUGAGCAGCUGCCAGUUAACGAGACACUCACGGCACCUGACAACCUCCAGUGAGGGUAUGGAACUGCCCUAAUGGAGAAGCACAUGCCUUUGAGUAAGGCUCCUCCUAGGGCAAAGCACUGCUAGGAGGUACACACUCCUAACAACAGGUCUGGCUGGUGGCCUUUCCACCACAGCAGGGCCUUGUCUGCUCCUCCCAUGGGCAGGUAUGGAGAAAGACACCUUCCUUCCCUCCUAGAAGACACUUUCAACAUCUAGCAUGGCAGAAGUUAAAAGGAAGCAACCUUUAAAAAUGUAUCUCAAAUCUGAAGUGCAACCUUGUUCCAGAUAAGCAUCUGGAAGACUGGGUCUAUCCACACUGUCCAGAUCUAUUGGGUUUGUAGCAAAUGGGCUGUGAACUUGCCAGGAAAAUUGUUUGUAAUGAGGUUAUUGCUAUUACAGGGAGAAUAAGAAGCAACCCGAAGUUGUAUUUCCUGAAUCCCUACAUGUGUAUAGGCUCAAGAAGCAGCUACUAUUUGAUGCACUGACUGCCACAACAACAACAAAAACGACUGCCCUUCCUCUUUUUCUCUCCUCCCCCCACUGCAGUUUGGUGCCUUGUGUUGACAUUUGAACUCCUGUGCAAUGAGCAUAAAUGUGCCCCUGCAAUCUGGUAGCACUGUACAUACACUUUGUGCAAGCAUGAAUUAUUUAGCAGGGUUCCAGACAGUAGCAAUCAGGCCAACGCCAUCCACCCUCUCAUGAAGACAUUGCUUUUUGCUCUCGUCUUGUUCACUUAAUUUGAAAGAUCACUGCCACUAGAAGCAUAUGUUUAUUCUUUUAUAUGGAAAAUAUAAUACUAAUUAUUUCCUUCCCAAGAAGCCAGAAAUGUUAGCACAACAACUUCUUUCACAGAAUUAUUACACUUCUGUUUCUCAUCCUGUCUGGAACCCAGAAUUUCAAAAGGGCAUAAAAUAAUGGAAAAGAUAUAAUGAACAUUUCUGGAAAGUAAAAAAAAAGGAAAACAUGGAUUUGAGUUGUCUCUAAAAGUAAAAAAUAUUAUGUAUUUUAAAUAAUUUCAUCCACUUUUCCUGACUUUGCAGUCCCAGAGACUGUCAUUCACAGCAAUAACUAGAGCUUCACAAUCAUCACUUUUCAGAGGAUGCAUUUUUUUUAAUCAGCUUAGACUUAUCACUGCAAAGUAGAAAAGAAAUAAAUCUGUAUUGAUGGUAUAUAUUGACACAGUUAAUCUGUCCUUUACUUUUAAUUCAAGCUACCAGAGUUUGUGGCAGAGCUCUAAGCAGUUUGAUAAAUUCUGUAUCUCUGCAGUUCUUCUCUGUGGAUCCACCUCGUUCCUUUGCCAGAAAUGAAACCAAGUGCAGCAGCUAAGACAGCAAUUGCAUAGGCCUGCGGAACAAACGUUCCUGGUCUGUGACAAUAAAAUAAAGUUUGAUUCAUUAGUGAGGUGAAAAAGCACAAAACCAGACUUUGUGCCAGAACUGCAGUUCUGCGAACUGUGAUUUGAUUUUCUGAAAGCUGUUCUGCAUAGUUUGAGCUUUAACUUAUUUUAGCUGUGAGUAUUCCACAGGGAAUUUCUGGUUAUUUUGAGGAUUCCUGACGGGUAACAACUUUGGCAUUGCGCUGGUUUCUACACUACUCAGUGACCAGGAGCCUUGCUAUUGAAAAGCUUUUUCAUGCAAUGAAAACAGCAGUAUUUGAUGCAUGUAAUACCUGGAGACCAAGGGUGAAACUCAGCACUUGUGGGUCUUCAUGGAGUUUUGCUUUCAGUCUUAUCCAUGUGAUCAACAACAUUCCUGCAUUCCUGCUUAGGAGCGAUGGGUGAAAGGAAUGAAAGGCAUGAGGAAAAGUCUUUAUAAAGAAUAAAACAAAUAGGCCAAGUUUUGCUCUUGCAUGUGACUUCCAGCAUGCCAGAAAAAAAAAAAAAAAAGCUAUUCCAGACAUACUCAGACUAGUGUAAUGAAGAUAAAUAAAAAUUUGUCUUAUUUAGCCUUUCAUUUUUUUUCCAGUUAAAAGCUUAAAAAGAUAAAUUCUUCCAGACAAAUAAAUGAUUCCUCAUUACAAUAUGACAGAUCUUUUGCAGUAGUACUUCAGGUAUGCCUCCUGUAUUCUCACAGAAGAGAUUCCUCUUUCUUCGUCUCAUACAGCAUCUGGAAACACCAGAACUAGGGUAAGAAGCUCAGGAAAAUAGGUUUUUGUUUUGCUUUGAUUUUUACCGAUGGCAAGAACUUGCAGAGCAAGAAAUUAAAUUCAGUCUGAGGAAGAGUGGCAAUGUAAUUAACCAAGUCAGAAACCACUAGAUAGAUCAGGACAUUGUAAAGAUAUUGUGCGUGGUGACUGAGGAUUAAUUUUUCUUUUUUUUUUUUUUUUUUAAUCGAUGGAUUCCAUUAUGGCAGAGAGGUUUUUUCCUCCACUGGAAAUAUUGAAGAAAAAAAAAUCUGUCUAUAUUCAUUAUUUUAAAAUUUUUCUUAAUAAAGAGGUCAUCUACAAUUUCUUCUUUUAUAUUUUUCUUCCAAACAAAAUCACUUACAAGCCAUGAAGAAAUGACCUUCGAGCUCCAUAAAUCAAUAUGACAGGUGAUUCAAUCAGCCACAUGCCUUCCCUGAUUUAAGCAGCUGCUGACUCCCAUAGAGCACAUUGAGUGCAGGUCCCAGCGGCCUUGCAAGUGAUGAAGAAAGCAGCAGGUUUGCACUUUUAAAACCACUGAAGCCUGGCUGAGGAAAUCACUGACACAAGUGAAAUAAAAAGGACUGAAUAUUUAAUUUGCAUGAGCUGCUGGCACUGCACACACCUCCGCAUCACAUUUUCUCACUCUGCAUGUUCUGUCAGUAUCGCCAGAGAAGCCACAACCUCGAUGUAGAUUUUAUUCCUACAAAGUGAUACUUCAGUCCACACCUGCAAUUUUUGUGUGUUUCCCAGGCACGCGCUUUAUCAACUUUAAAAGAAGAACUACAUUGAGGGCAGGGGAAAUUCUGUUUAAUCUCAAAUGGGAGAAGCAGAACCGGACAGGCUACUGAGCAACAAAAAAAGUCUUGGUGGGCCACAUUCUCCUUAAAUUCAGAGUGGCUCACUAUAUCAGAAUAACUAACAGCUGGAUUUUUUAUGGCACUGCUUUGGAUUUAUUCAAAUAUAUAUAAUAAGAGGGUUCAACAGAGCUAUUGGGGUCUGAGCCAUGAUAGAGUUUAAGCCUGCAAGCAAAAGAGAUGUACUUCAGUUCUACUCAGGUAUCAGUACCAUGCUUUCCCAGGACUGAAACCUGGUCUCCUAACUUUAAACCCUUCAGGCCACCAAAGGAGUCACAGGGAAAGAUUCAGUAAGCUUGCCUGUGACAGCUGAAAUAUCCCAUCUUUGAAUGUAAGUUGCAGUUAUUCUCCUAACUUUGAAAAAUCUGCUUUGAACAUGAAUUUAACAAGCCUCUGGGACUGGCAGGUUUGAUGCAAUUACUUAGGAUCAAGUCUUUGAGCCUCAGUACUACUGAUUUUUAGUAAAGGACAUCGCACAGAUUAAUUAACAGAAAGGAAACAAACAUGGGGAAGAAAAAACAGAUAGCCCAGUGUCUUGUUUUAAAAGUGCAAACCCUGGAAGCUCAGGGGAAAAUAUGAACAUGAAAUAUAACAGAUAUUUAUUAAUAUAUAAAGAAUUUGUCACAAAGUAAUUAUGAUCACAUGCCCUCCUAGCUACUAGCAAAUUAGAUGCCUAUAGUUUGCAUUCUGAUCCACAGCAUUUGGUAAUCACUAGUAGGCCUACCCUUCAUAGAAUCAUAGAAUGUCUUGAGUUGGAAGGGACCCACCAGGUCUCUCCUGUCCCUGCAUAUUCAUGGACUUGUAAAAUAAAUUUUUAAAAAACCAUUUACAGUUUUGGACUACAAUAUGUCCUGCAGCAAUGAGUUAUGGGAAUAGUACCAUGAGUUUGGGAUGGAGCAUGGAAAGACAUUCUUUACUUUUGUCUAAAGCUCCUGCAUCAUCAUUUCACUACAAGCUUUUCAGUUUUAUACAGAAACAUUAAACUAUGCAGGUGGUUGAGGGUGGGAUCUACUCACUUUCUGUGCACCAUACAUGAAUUCACAAACCUGCUUGGCCACAUCAUCUAUUUUAUCAAAUGUGAAAACUCCUAGUCUAUUUACUCUUCCUUGUCCUGAAGGCAUCUCACACCUGGGAUAACCAUUGUUACACUUGUCCAUAUUUAUUCCAGUUUUGCUGCCUGUUGACCUGGGUUGGCCCAGAAUCAUAUACAAUAAUGAAGAUCUAAGCACAGCAUGGCUUUAUCUAUACAACCAUGUAAUUUUACAUCCUCCUUUUGUUAACAGAAAGUAAAAGGACCUAGACACACAUAGAGAAGAAGGGACAACCCUGUCUGAGGUGGCUGCACCCCAGCCAACCAUCCCUUACCGUGCCAACUUCUGCCUCGCUGCCUCAGCACAUGGCCACUGUCCUGACCAAGUGGCAGCUCUCCUGCCAGGUCUCCAAAGUUGCACCAAAUUCAAGCAUUAGGAUGUGCCAACUAUACAAAGUGCACACAUUUCACCUAGAAGGAAUGGCUGAUUUUUCAUGGUGUGGCUCCUUUAGCCCUCUUCCCCACACGUGGUUUUGAUCAAGGCUUAAUUUGGGGAAGUUUUGUGCUUUGGACUGAUUCACUCCAGUGGUCUUUUUUGGCCUUGAAAUGGAAAAAAACAUGGUGCACAGCAAAUUCGAGGGAUGCAUCAUCCUCAGAAAAGAAAAAACAAAGGAAAGGUCUCGAAUCUUUUUCUCUUACAAAUUGCUUUGCUUUCACUCCCUGUGUUUUCCAUCAUCACUAUUUUUCCAUGGAUCUGCUCUCUCUAAUAUCUUACUGUCAUCUUUCUUCUCUUAAAUAAGCCCAUUCAACUUCAAAAGCCAAAUGGCAGAGGUGCAAAAUAACACUGACACAGACAUGAUCAUUAACAAUGAGCAAUGGUGAGCAUGGUUUCUUGCUUUCCCUCUUUAAUUCCAGUGCAUCAGCUGUAUGAAUGUGCAUUAUUUAAGCUCUGUCCCACAAAAUGAUACACACUUUAGAGGAACAACAGCCUGGUCCUGAUUGCUUUAGGCGGGCUUCUAGUUCUCUCCAAAGUCAUGGCUUUCUACUGGAUCCUUGAAUGGCAGUGGGAAGCAUGCAAGUUAUGAAGAACAAAAUAUUGAAAUUAAGAUUGUAGAUCAGUCCUUCAUUUGGGUUAAAAAAAUCCACACCUGCAGUACAUAGUUUGGGCAAGAAAUUUCUGAAACUAAUCUAACCUCAGAAAGGUUGCACGAUUACACAAUUGCAUGCUAUUUUUAAUUGGACAAAAUAGGUACAAAGGACACGCCAAAAGACAUGGAAAAUAUUUAGGAAGAGAACAUGAAACAUGCUUCCCAUCUGGAAAGCUAACUUCCUUGUCAACCCUAAGAUGAGUUUAAAACUAACUUGGAAGGACAGAGACUACUGGCUGGAUUUAAAAAAAAAAAAAAAAAAGAAAAAAAGAAAAAAAAAGAUUUAUGGUACGUUUGCACUUAAGUCCAUCUGAACCUUAGGCAAGAAGUAAUUCCUGAAUAUUCCAUUUUAGUAGUGGACUACAGAUUAAAGGCUACAGUCUUAGUUGGAGCAAAUUAGUUUAGUUUUAUGAAUGUGAGUAGAGGCUUGCAUGAGGUGAGCAACAGAGCUUUAUAUUUUUCUAGGGGCUUAGUGGAUUUGCUUAUUUUCAUUUGAAGCCAAAGCAUGGAAUAAUUUGUGGAGAAAUCAUGAAUGGAUUAAAUGAAAAACAACAUAGGAGCUUCUGCCAAUGCUCCAGAUGCUCUGAAAUGACAAGUUCUGCAGGCUGAAGCUACAGGGAAACGUUUCUGUCUAUCACUUCAUCUGCUUCCAGGGUUCCCACAGAAAUGUAUAGCUACCUUCCAAAAACCCAGUCAUUUUUCCUGUAUUGUUUCAUUUUUUGGAAUAUUUUUGAUAACUCUCAUAAAGAAAGACUGAGAAAUUUAGUAGAUGACAAAGAAAAGAUAUUUCCAAGGAGUUAAAGCACCAAAUUAUUCUUAGAAUCAUAGAGAUGACAAAGACUUAGUUUUUUCCAUAAAAUCUGUAAAAUGUUAGGCACAAAAAUUUCUAGUAUCUUUAAUGGCAUAAUGAACUAUCCAGGCAUGGUACUUUCUCUCUCUCUCUCUUUUUUUUUUUUCUUCUGUUUGUGAAACUAGCAAGAUCCCCAGUAAGGAAGAAGUAGAUACACGCAACGAGGAGAUUAUCUUGUGUCUCCAAGACCCAUGCUAUACAUUGUAUUCAGAUGCUUCUUCCCUCGACAGUAAUCGGGUAUUUCAUAACUUAUCACAGGCUUGCAAUUUGUUUGAGAUGGAAAUGCCUGCUGCACAUGGGAAGCUGAGACACAGCUGAAGUCUGGCAAAGAUAUAUAGGAGCUUGUAUCCCCUCAAAAUGAGUUAUUUCAUCUUGUAAUCUUUCUGUUGAUCUCUGACUGGCAGUAACAGGAAAUGAACUAAAAUGUUAGGAGUCACUAAUAACUACUGGCUCCAGCAUCUCCUUAGAAACCUGAGAAAAUUAAGAUGUUUAGUGCUCAGAUGAACUAAUUUUUCUCACUUGCAAAGGAUAUAUUGGGUAGCUGUACAAAGGAUGCUUUAAGAAACAACAAAAAAGGACAGGAAGAAGAUGAAGAGAUAAUGCACCCUACCAGUGGCCCCUUUUCCAAAGUAUAGCAAUAAACACGUGAAUGCCUCUCUCUGAUUUUCUGCUGAGGACUGGCUAGGACAGCUGGCUACUUCCCCUCAUGUGGGAACAUGCCACUCGCAGCUGGAGGGUGUUAAGCCCCAUGGCACUGUCAUGUCACGUCAUGGGACGGCAACCUCAGCCGCCUCUACGUAGCUGCUCCUCCUCUGCUGAUCACUCCAGCUAAUCUCCAACUUCUCUGCUCUUCCUGCUCUUCAGGGGAUGUAGAGCAAAGACUAAGGACAGCCAUUUCAAAGAGCAAGACAUCGCUGAACUGUCCACUCCAGAAACUAGAAGACCGAACAUUGGACUACUUUUUAAUCUGAAACCUGCCUUUCACCGAGGUGAAGGCAGCAGAUAGAAGUGCAAGAUGUGAACUACAUAUUCCCUUCCUCUGCAAGUGUAAACAGCUUGUUCUAGUACCUGGAGUAAAAAGCAAACUGCCAAAGAAGAUGGUUGAUGUACUGAACAACAGAAGGCUGCACCUAGAAACAGUUGGAGAAGAACAAGGAGAUGAUGCAGCAGGAAAUAACCAGAGCAGUAUUUCUUUUCACCAUGCACUCAAUCAAGCAGUUGUCAGAGGGACUCACAAGCCCAGCAAGGCUGCAAGCAGUUGAUGAUGGCUAAAGAUGAUGCCAUUCAGAAUCUGAGGUCCACCCCAGCACCUACAGAGGUGAGCGUGAUUGCCCACUGCUGCCUUCAGCAAAAACACUGUGUACUGUGUAUUCAGUCAGAAAAAAUCCAGACUAUCAAUCUGAAAGGUUUUGAAUAAAGCAACUGCUGCUUGUGUAAUGCCAUGGAAUUAAAAUCUCUCUUGAAGUAACCACAUAAAUGGCCUACGGUU